rnacentral:rRNA from 1 species
UACGAAGGGGGGCUAGCGUUGCUCGGAAUUACUGGGCGUAAAGGGCGCGUAGGCGGAUAGUUUAGUCAGAGGUGAAAGCCCCAGGGCUCAACCUUGGAACUGCCUUUGAUACUGGCUAUCUUGAGUUCGGGAGAGGUGAGUGGAAUGCCGAGUGUAGAGGUGAAAUUCGUAGAUAUUCGGCGGAACACCAGUGGCGAAGGCGACUCACUGGCCCCGAUACUGACGCUGAGGCGACGAAAGCGUGGGGGAGCGAAACAGG